CACUUCUAUGGUGACCACGCCAGUGCACUAUUUGAAUACUGGAAAAGUUAGAACUUUCCUGUUCUUGGAAGCUCAGCAGGUGAUGUGGUCACCCAAAAAUGCAAUGCCAGUAAGACCUGGGCAGCAGUUGUACAGAGGUUAGUUUCUGCCCCCAUCCACCAGAGCAAGGAAACUGAAGUAGCACCAAGGGUGGCAGAAUUGGACGCCGCAGUCGCAUACUCUGCCCUCUCGACACGUGCAAGUGCAUACAUCAGACCCUCGGUGAUUGCUGCGGCUCAGCGACCAGCAAACAGGCAUUCUGUGUGUGUGUGCGCUACAAGGUGCAAAAGGUUGUGCCCGCCAAUGUGCCACCCCUCGCCUGCUGGUAAACAGGGCCCAGAUUCUAGCUGUAAGGUACUCAAGGCUCACAGCAUGGUGCAGUUACCAGAGAUGGCAGCUGCAGAGCAUUGCUGCAUGGCAUGUGAAGUGAUCCUCCAGUGAGAAGCUAAAAAACUUGGAGAGAGAGCAGUGAAAUAGCACCAGCCAACUUUUUCGAACCUCGCACAACAGAUCAGGCUGAACAAAACUGCGCAAGUUCACAGGUUUGCCAAGUUGCACUGAAGAAUGAAGAAACGGGUGUCACUUCAGCACGACAUGCCACCAAAAAGCAUCAGGCGGUCGUCCUCUGACACUGCGUGGAGUGCUCAGCAGUGUACAGCAAGCACAUGCUUCGUGCAAAGAGUGGGCCAGCAUCAUUUCUACACCAGCAAGAACAUAAAUGCUGAAAAUAAGCAUUUCCUUCCAAAAUGUGCGGUUGUCUUUAUAGUGUAAGGUUGAAUUAAGCUUUAUUUGCUUCCUCAUUUA